rnacentral:lncRNA from 1 species
AAAAAAAAAAAAAGGCGCCCGACGUAAGCCAGAAAUAAAGUAAGAUAGAUUCAAAGUAAUAGGCUAAGGCUAAUGACCCUACGAGGAUAAAAUAAAAGGUUUUAAAAAGAUAUUUAUCGUUUUUACCAUUUCGUAUUUCCAUCAUCUAAACGAGGUUCGUUGUGUGCAUUUUCCAAAAUGCAGAGUUGAUGUUGAAAAAGAAUUACUGAAUUAGAAUGAAAGUCAUUUUGAUUUUGAAAAGGUUGAAUAGAAUCUGAAACCAAAAUUCAUCACCGGAUAGAGCAAAAUCUAUCAGUAAAUGAAAACAGCGCGUUUUACAUAGAGCGUGAUUCCAAAUCUAGAGGCACCGAAUCCGGAAAACAGAUUCGCUGUGCGCCUGUGCCGAUACCAAAAACGGCAAGAAUCACUUAUCCUUGUGUUGUUUAAUGAUACGAGAAUGAUAUCAUAAUAUAUUUAUUUGUAAAUUAUGUUAUAAAAAUUUGAGCUUCUGUUUCAUAAUUUAUCAAGUUUACAAAUAUUUUAUUAUUGAUUAAAAAAUAUUAAAUGUGAAACAGAACAUCAUGAGCUCCUUGUCGAUUGUGUUACGGGUUGGGGCAAAAUAGAAUAGAGUCCAUGGCGCACCCAACUUCCUUUUGGCCCAUGGGUCUCUCGCCCCAGCCGGCAUGAUUACCUUUUCAUAUCUCUUGAAGUCACAUUUUCAAUUUUAUUCCAAUUAAAAUUUCUCCUUAAAUAAAAUUACCAAAAAACCACAUAGAAAGUAGAAACUUACAUCGGCAAGAUGAUGUCCUUCCAGCUUUCAGCAUAUUAGGAAUUCAGCCAAAAGUCACUAUAUUUUGCCAUAAAAUCAUUGGUCUCUAAUGAGUAUAAGCCAUCAUAGAUGUUAAGGGUGGGUAAAUAACAUGUUCUGACUGAUCUAACCUGAAUAUUUCAGAUUGGAUCGAGGUCAAACCCGAUCAAAUUUAGAAAAAAAUCAUACAGCAAAAUUUAAAUCAAAAAAUCUAAUUUCUCUGCACCCAUGAUCCACAUACAAAAUUUAACACGAUCCGAUUAUCUUAAACGAAUACGACAUAAAUAAAAUGGUAUGGAUCGUUAAAAUUUGACAUAAUUAUUAAAUAGGUUGAGUUCGAGUCAACACGAUAUUUUUUUGUGUCAGGUUAGGAUUAAAGUUCUUAACUCAUUCAGUCGAUCAAUACAUGAUUAUAUUUUCUAUUCUAAAUUAAUUUAUAGGUUCUUGUUAUCAAAACUCAAAUAUUGAACAUUAUUUUCUUUUUUCUUUUUUUUUAAAGAUGAACAUAUACACAAUGUUUUAUUCAUAAAAUUUUAUAUAUAUUUAAAACUUUAAUGGUGUAAAUAUUAAAA